UACGUAGGGGGCUAGCGUUGUUCGGAAUUACUGGGCGUAAAGCGCGUGUAGGCGGUCGGGCAAGUCGGAUGUGAAAGCCCAGGGCUCAACCCUGGAAGUGCACUCGAUACUGCUCGGCUAGAGUCCCGGAGAGGAUGGUGGAACUCUCGGUGUAGAGGUGAAAUUCGUAGAUAUCGAGAAGAACACCGGUGGCGAAGGCGGCCAUCUGGACGGUGACUGACGCUGAGACGCGAAAGCGUGGGGAGCAAACAGG
rnacentral:rRNA from 1 species